GUCUCUAAAAGGUAAAGGUCUAGGUCUUGCCGAAGCCCCGCACUUCUGUGAGCGGCACUAUUGCAGUAAGAGUCCACACCAGGCUCAUCGACUGACUUUCAAGGCUACUCUAGAUUCGUCUCCGGGUAAAUUACCUACUGCGACAUCUUGGUACUCCAAUCUGACAAGAGCAAAGGCAGUAGGUAACCAUGGGCUAUAAGAUGGCGAUGCUCUUGGGUCUGUCCGGCCUCCUGAUGUUGCUGAUGGUGAACCAAGCAGAUGCGGGCAGGGACAAUAGGAUGGUGCCUCAGGAGCCGAGCGCUCUUCAGGAUUUGCCGGGUUCCCCCGCUGACGAACCCUCCCCGGGAGAGAGCGCCAUGGCGCUCAGGGAUGUCGAGGAGGACCUUUUGCGGAGGAUCCUUGGGAUGCUUCUCAACUGGCGUCGGGGGAGACUGGCGCGUUUUGGGGCCUUCAACAGCGGGUGAGGACCUUGGCAUUCAGUCCUGAAAGGAACGAAGAGUUCACUGACCCCGGGAUGGCAAUGGUCCCACCGCAUUCUGCCUUUGCCGAGCACCAUCCUGGCCUUCCAGCCGUGACUGCAGAUCAGGCGCAUAGAUUUUAGUUUUAAGCUGUUUUUGCCUCAUUUAACCAAGACAAGACUCGUGAGUGGGUUUAAGGUUUCAAUAUUAAUCCAUCUUCAUUUUAUGAUUAGUUAUUGCUCUAAUUCUUUAGAAACAUUUAAGCAAAAUGAAUUUAAAUCAGAGAUUAAAAUAACAGAAGGGGGUCUAUACCUAAACGGUUUGAAUAAAGUCCUGUGGUAUUAAAUGUAUGUCCAAGGCACCCCAACUAUCAGGUCAAUUAUGUAUACUGCCAGUGCACAGAAGACCCAAAUAUACAUGUUUGAUCAGACAAUUGGUUCGGUUCAUGAGAAGAUGAAAAGCAACAUCAUCGCAAAUUUCUAUAUUCUCUGAUGUCUUUUUAACACGCACAUACAUACAUCAACAUACACAAUAUAUACACUUAUACAAUCUAUACAGUUUUGUCUGUCUUUGGUAAGAGUUUUGAAUUUAGUAGUUACUGACAUUCUGAUAUGAUAUGGAAGUGUACUGUACAAUUUUGAGCAUUUGUAAAUAAAAUAUUUAGUAACUGCUGAUGUUCUUGGCUUUGGCAGCUUAAAAUUAUUCGAAUUCUUGCUGCAGAUCUCGUGCUGUAACCGUGCUGGUUAGAUACAAGAUGUAGUUUACUGUAAAGUGUUGUCGGUUGCUUAUAGAAAAGCGACUUGUGGAAGGUACACAUGUUAACAUCUUUCACUAACAGUCAGCCAUGAUAGCACACUGUGCAUAUACAUAUGCUGUGACCUAUCCGGAGUUUUGUGAUCA